GACGAACGCUGGCGGCGUGCUUAACACAUGCAAGUCGAACGGAAAGGCCCUGCUUUUGUGGUGUGCUCGAGUGGCGAACGGGUGAGUAACACGUGAGUAACCUGCCCUUGACUUUGGGAUAACUUCCGGAAACUGGGGCUAUUACCGGAUAGGAGCUCCUGCUGCGUGGUGGGUGUUGGAAAGUUUCGGCGGUUGGGGAUGGACUCGCGGCUUAUCAGCUUGUUGGUGGGGUAGUGGCUUACCAAGGCUUUGACGGGUAGCCGGCCUGAGAGGGUGACCGGCCACAUUGGGACUGAGAUACGGCCCAGACUCCUACGGGAGGCAGCAGUGGGGAAUAGUGCACAAUGGGCGGAAGCCUGAUGCAGCAACGCCGCGUGCGGGAUGACGGCCUUCGGGUUGUAAACCGCUUUCGCCUGUGACGAAGCGUGAGUGACGGUAAUGGGUAAAGAAGCACCGGCUAACUACGUG
rnacentral:rRNA from 1 species